rnacentral:rRNA from 1 species
UACGUAGGGUGCGAGCGUUAAUCGGAAUUACUGGGCGUAAAGCGUGCGCAGGCGGUCCUUUAAGUCUGAUGUGAAAACCCUGGGCUCAACCUGGGAAUUGCGAUGGAUACUGGGCGACUAGAGUGUGGUAGAGGACAGUGGAAUUUCCGGUGUAGCAGUGAAAUGCGUAGAGAUCGGAAGGAACAUCUGUGGCGAAGGCGACUGUCUGGCCAACACUGACACUGAGGCACGAAAGCGUGGGAGCAAACAGGG